rnacentral:tRNA from 1 species
GCUCCCGUGGUGAAAUGGAAAUCAUAAGUGCCUUCGAAGCAUUUGUUCCAGGUUCGAGUCCUGGCGGGAGCA